rnacentral:rRNA from 1 species
AGCGAACGCUGGCGGCGUGCCUAACACAUGCAAGUCGAACGUGAAAGGGAGCACUCCCAAGUAAAGUGGCGUACGGGUGAGUAACACGUAGGUAAUCUACCCCAGAAUCUGGAAUAACCGGCCGAAAGGCUGGCUAAUACUGGAUAGAGCGACGGAAUCCGUAAUUGGGUUUUUCGGGAAAGGGAGCCUGUAAAAAGGCCUUCGUUCUGGGAUGAGCCUGCGUCCCAUCAGCUAGUUGGUGAGGUAAAAGCUUACCAAGGCAAUGACGGGUAGCUGGUCUAGAAGGAGGACAGGCAAAACGGGAAUGAAAACACGGCCCGACUCCCACGGGAGGCAGCAGUGGGGAAUCUUGCGCAAUGGACGAAAGUCUGACGCAGCAACGCCGCGUGAGUGAAGAAGGCCUUCGGGUUGUAAAGCUCUGUCGAGUGGGACGAAAAUGCUUGGAGUUCACAGCUCCAGGAACUGACGGUACCACUAAAGGAAGCACCGGCUAACUCCGUG